UGGACCUGGUCCCAGCUUUGUGUCCUUGAAGAGUGAUGCAUCAAAGGAGUUUUUCAUCGGUUUUAAAGAUGAUCCUGGUUUUCCUUCAGAGAGAGUGGACCAGCAGAUCUCAGAGUCCCCCAGCGGUCCGUCUGUCCAGCAGCAUCAGACCCAGCUGGACUCCGUCUUUCAGCUGCUGGAGGACGACAUCGUCAUGUUUGUGAAGGACGAGCUGAAGAAAAUCCUGAAGGUUC